rnacentral:rRNA from 1 species
UACGUAGGGCGCAAGCGUUGUCCGGAAUUAUUGGGCGUAAAGAGCUCGUAGGCGGCCAGUUGCGUCUGCUGUGAAAUCCCGGGGCUCAACCCCGGGCGUGCAGUGGAUACGGGCUGGCUAGAGGCAGGCAGGGGAGAACGGAAUUCCCGGUGUAGCGGUGAAAUGCGCAGAUAUCGGGAGGAACACCGGUGGCGAAGGCGGCUCUCUGGGCCUGUACUGACGCUGAGGAGCGAAAGCGUGGGGAGCGAACAGG